GGAAGGGUGGCUGAGUGGUUGAAAGCGCACGCCUGGAAAGUGUGUAAACGGUAUACCCGUUUCGCGAGUUCGAAUCUCGUCCCUUCCUCCA
rnacentral:tRNA from 1 species